UGACCCCAUGCCGAACUCAGAAGUGAAACGCCGUAGCGCCGAUGGUAGUGUGGGGCUUCCCCAUGUGAGAGUAGGGAACUGCCAGGC
rnacentral:rRNA from 2 species